rnacentral:rRNA from 1 species
GGCGUUGAGCUAACCUGUACUAAUUGCCCGUGAGGCUUGACCAUAUAACACCCAAGCAAUU